rnacentral:rRNA from 1 species
UUAAGUUAUUAAGGGCGCACGGUGGAUGCCUUGGCACUAGAAGCCGAUGAAGGACGUUACUAACGACGAUAUGCUUUGGGGAGCUGUAAGUAAGCUUUGAUCCAGAGAUUUCCGAAUGGGGAAACCCAGCAUGAGUUAUGUCAUGUUAUCGAUAUGUGAAUACAUAGCAUAUCAGAAGGCACACCCGGAGAACUGAAACAUCUUAGUACCCGGAGGAAGAGAAAGAAAAUUCGAUUCCCUUAGUAGCGGCGAGCGAAACGGGAAGAGCCCAAACCAACAAGCUUGCUUGUUGGGGUUGUAGGACACUCUAUACGGAGUUACAAAGGACGACAUUAGACGAAUCAUCUGGAAAGAUGAAUCAAAGAAGGUAAUAAUCCUGUAGUCGAAAAUGUUGUCUCUCUUGAGUGGAUCCUGAGUACGACGGAGCACGUGAAAUUCCGUCGGAAUCUGGGAGGACCAUCUCCUAAGGCUAAAUACUCUCUAGUGACCGAUAGUGAACCAGUACCGUGAGGGAAAGGUGAAAAGCACCCCGGAAGGGGAGUGAAAUAGAACCUGAAACCGUGUGCUUACAAGUAGUCAGAGCCCGUUAAUGGGUGAUGGCGUGCCUUUUGUAGAAUGAACCGGCGAGUUACGAUUUGAUGCAAGGUUAAGCAGUAAAUGUGGAGCCGUAGCGAAAGCGAGUCUGAAUAGGGCGUUUAGUAUUUGGUCGUAGACCCGAAACCAGGUGAUCUACCCUUGGUCAGGUUGAAGUUCAGGUAACACUGAAUGGAGGACCGAACCGACUUACGUUGAAAAGUGAGCGGAUGAACUGAGGGUAGCGGAGAAAUUCCAAUCGAACCUGGAGAUAGCUGGUUCUCUCCGAAAUAGCUUUAGGGCUAGCCUCAAGUGAUGAUUAUUGGAGGUAGAGCACUGUUUGGACGAGGGGCCCCUCUCGGGUUACCGAAUUCAGACAAACUCCGAAUGCCAAUUAAUUUAACUUGGGAGUCAGAACAUGGGUGAUAAGGUCCGUGUUCGAAAGGGAAACAGCCCAGACCACCAGCUAAGGUCCCAAAAUAUAUGUUAAGUGGAAAAGGAUGUGGCGUUGCCCAGACAACUAGGAUGUUGGCUUAGAAGCAGCCAUCAUUUAAAGAGUGCGUAAUAGCUCACUAGUCGAGUGACACUGCGCCGAAAAUGUACCGGGGCUAAACAUAUUACCGAAGCUGUGGAUUGUCCUUUGGACAAUGGUAGGAGAGCGUUCUAAGGGCGUUGAAGCAUGAUCGUAAGGACAUGUGGAGCGCUUAGAAGUGAGAAUGCCGGUGUGAGUAGCGAAAGACGGGUGAGAAUCCCGUCCACCGAUUGACUAAGGUUUCCAGAGGAAGGCUCGUCCGCUCUGGGUUAGUCGGGUCCUAAGCUGAGGCCGACAGGCGUAGGCGAUGGAUAACAGGUUGAUAUUCCUGUACCACCUAUAAUCGUUUUAAUCGAUGGGGGGACGCAGUAGGAUAGGCGAAGCGUGCGAUUGGAUUGCACGUCUAAGCAGUAAGGCUGAGUAUUAGGCAAAUCCGGUACUCGUUAAGGCUGAGCUGUGAUGGGGAGAAGACAUUGUGUCUUCGAGUCGUUGAUUUCACACUGCCGAGAAAAGCCUCUAGAUAGAAAAUAGGUGCCCGUACCGCAAACCGACACAGGUAGUCAAGAUGAGAAUUCUAAGGUGAGCGAGCGAACUCUCGUUAAGGAACUCGGCAAAAUGACCCCGUAACUUCGGGAGAAGGGGUGCUCUUUAGGGUUAACGCCCAGAAGAGCCGCAGUGAAUAGGCCCAAGCGACUGUUUAUCAAAAACACAGGUCUCUGCUAAACCGUAAGGUGAUGUAUAGGGGCUGACGCCUGCCCGGUGCUGGAAGGUUAAGAGGAGUGGUUAGCUUCUGCGAAGCUACGAAUCGAAGCCCCAGUAAACGGCGGCCGUAACUAUAACGGUCCUAAGGUAGCGAAAUUCCUUGUCGGGUAAGUUCCGACCCGCACGAAAGGCGUAACGAUUUGGGCACUGUCUCAACGAGAGACUCGGUGAAAUCAUAGUACCUGUGAAGAUGCAGGUUACCCGCGACAGGACGGAAAGACCCCGUGGAGCUUUACUGUAGCCUGAUAUUGAAAUUCGGCACAGCUUGUACAGGAUAGGUAGGAGCCUUUGAAACGUGAGCGCUAGCUUACGUGGAGGCGCUGGUGGGAUACUACCCUAGCUGUGUUGGCUUUCUAACCCGCACCACUUAUCGUGGUGGGAGACAGUGUCAGGCGGGCAGUUUGACUGGGGCGGUCGCCUCCUAAAAGGUAACGGAGGCGCUCAAAGGUUCCCUCAGAAUGGUUGGAAAUCAUUCAUAGAGUGUAAAGGCAUAAGGGAGCUUGACUGCGAGACCUACAAGUCGAGCAGGGUCGAAAGACGGACUUAGUGAUCCGGUGGUUCCGCAUGGAAGGGCCAUCGCUCAACGGAUAAAAGCUACCCCGGGGAUAACAGGCUUAUCUCCCCCAAGAGUUCACAUCGACGGGGAGGUUUGGCACCUCGAUGUCGGCUCAUCGCAUCCUGGGGCUGUAGUCGGUCCCAAGGGUUGGGCUGUUCGCCCAUUAAAGCGGUACGCGAGCUGGGUUCAGAACGUCGUGAGACAGUUCGGUCCCUAUCCGUCGUGGGCGUAGGAAAUUUGAGAGGAGCUGUCCUUAGUACGAGAGGACCGGGAUGGACAUACCUCUGGUGUACCAGUUGUCGUGCCAACGGCAUAGCUGGGUAGCUAUGUGUGGACGGGAUAAGUGCUGAAAGCAUCUAAGCAUGAAGCCCCCCUCAAGAUGAGAUUUCCCAACUUCGGCUAUAAGAUCCCUCAAAGAUGAUGAGGUUAAUAGGUUCGAGGUGGAAGCAUGGUGACAUGUGGAGCUGACGAAUACUAAUCGAUCGAAGACUUAAUCAA